UACGUAGGGGGCAAGCGUUGUCCGGAAUCAUUGGGCGUAAAGAGCGUGUAGGCGGCCCGAUAAGUCCGCUGUGAAAGUCCAGGGCUCAACCCUGGGAUGCCGGUGGAUACUGUCGGGCUCGAGUCCGGAAGAGGCGAGUGGAAUUCCUGGUGUAGCGGUGAAAUGCGCAGAUAUCAGGAGGAACACCAGUGGCGAAGGCGGCUCACUGGCCCGUUACCGACGCUCAGGCGCGACAGCGUGGGGAGCAAACAGG
rnacentral:rRNA from 1 species